CCUAUGGGGGGCAGCAGGCGCGAAACCUCCUCAAUACACUAACGUGUGAAGGGGUUACCUCGAGUGCCACCUGAAGAAGGUGGCUUUUCCGUGGUCUAAAAAGCCUAGGGAAUAAGAGGGGGGCAAGACUGGUGUCAGCCGCCGCGGUAACACCAGCCCCUCGAGUGGUGUGGAUGAUUAUUUGGCCUAAAGCGUCCGUAGCCGGCCGGGUAAGUUUCCCGUUAAAUCCAACGUCUCAAGCGUUGGACUGCGGGAAAUACUGCCUGGCUAGAGAGUGGGAGAGGUCAGCGGUAUUCUGGGGGUAGGGGCGAAAUCCUUUGAUCCCCGGAGGACCACCAGUGGCGAAGGCUGCUGACUAGAACACGUCUGACGGUCAGGGACGAAAGCUGGGGUAGCGAACCGGAUUAGAUACCCGCGUAGUCC
rnacentral:rRNA from 1 species